rnacentral:tRNA from 8 species
CGGGAUAUGGCGCAGUUUGGUAGCGCACUCGCUUUGGGAGCGAGGGGUCGCAGGUUCAAAUCCUGUUAUCCCGA